rnacentral:rRNA from 1 species
UAGGGAAUCUUCGGCAACGGACGGAAGUCUGACCGAGCAACGCCGCGUGAGUGAAGAAGGUUUUCGGAUCGUAAAGCUCUGUUGUAAGAGAAGAACGAGUGUGAGAGUGGAAAGUUCACACUGUGACGGUAUCUUACCAGAAAGGGACGGCUAACUACGUGCCAGCAGCCGCGGUAAUACGUAGGUCCCGAGCGUUGUCCGGAUUUAUUGGACGUAAAGCGAGCGCAGGCGGUUAGAUAAGUCUGAAGUUAAAGGCUGUGGCUUAACCAUAGUACGCUUUGGAAACUGUUUAACUUGAGUGCAAGAGGGGAGAGUGGAAUUCCAUGUGUAGCGGUGAAAUGCGUAGAUAUAUGGAGGAACACCGGUGGCGAAAGCGGCUCUCUGGCUUGUAACUGACGCUGAGGCUCGAAAGCGUGGGGAGCAAACAGGAUUAGAUACCCUGGUAGUCCACGCCGUAAACGAUGAGUGCUAGGUGUUAGACCCUUUCCGGGGUUUAGUGCCGUAGCUAACGCAUUAAGCACUCCGCCUGGGGAGUACGACCGCAAGGUUG